AGUAUGUAUUUCUCUGAUACCUUUGGUACAGAAACUACUCUCAGGCUUCAAAGAUUAAAGAAUUAGAGAUCUAUUUGUAAGGUUUUAGAUAAAGGGUAAUCCUAGGAAUCCUUUCUGUUGCCAUCCAGGUAGAUCUCAGAUCAGACAUCAGGAUGAGGUUUUAAGCAGAAAUAAUAGGACUUUCUCCCUAAACAAAAUACAAAAAUUCUACAUCAGUACUUCCAGAGAGUAUAUGCAUUUCUACUUCUAUGACAGGGUAGUUGGUAACAGUUGUAAAAGCUGGACAAAAUAGUGUUAGACAAUAGAUUGUAAGGAUAAGAGAGCAACUAAGGUAGCCAGAGCUUGAGGGGCCAAGAUCUCAGAGUAGGUGCAUGAAGUGAGAGUCUCAUAUUUGCCACUGCUUUUUCCCUUAAAGCAUUGCCCAAUUCGAAUCAUGGGGCAAGGAAAUAUGGAAGAAAGUGGUGGCCUGGUGCUGCGGUGGUCUCACUGGGCUGGAGAGAUGAAACAUCCAGGACUCGAGGAGGCAAGUUCCUAGAGAAAAGGGAACCAAAGAAAACUAUUGUGACAAUAAAUUGUCUGCCAGGAGCUGGGCAGUGCACUGGAAAUUCGAAGGCAAAUAAGACAUGGGCCCUUUCCCAGAGGGCUUCUUUGUCAAGAGGAGCAAACAAGCUUAUAAAUAUAUAAUCAGCACAGCUGUAGUAAGUGGAUUCUACAGUAUGUGUGUCUGAAGAACCCCCAAAGCAGAGCUCCAGGGAAAAUUGACACAUGCCUAAUGUUAGCUCAAGGCAGGUGCCAACUUCCUCCUGCAGAAACAAAAGCAGAUAAGAUAACUUUUAAGGAAAAUAACAGAAAAUAACCUUCUCUUUGCUUCCUUGUAUUGACUCAUAGAUUGGAAGUUGAGAAAAAGAUUUUAAAGCUAAGAAUUAUUGAAUACUGGAUAUAUCAGGCAAUCAGAUAAAAUGGAGAGUCUUAAUGAGAAAUGUGCAUGCUUGUGACCAAAAGCUAAGCCUUCGCCCUCCCUUCCUGUUCCCAGGAAACCAGACUGUCUGUAGUACACAUGCUCUUUCACUUGUUUCCCACAACUCAGUCUGUCCCAUACCCUCUCCAGCAGUUAUUUU